rnacentral:rRNA from 1 species
UACCAGCACCCCGAGUGGUCGGGACGUUUUAUUGGGCCUAAAGCAUCCGUAGCCGGUUCUACAAGUCUUCCGUUAAAUCCACCUGCUUAACAGAUGGGCUGCGGAAGAUACUAUGGAGCUAGGAGGCGGGAGAGGCAAGCGGUACUCGAUGGGUAGGGGUAAAAUCCGUUGAUCCAUUGAAGACCACCAGUGGCGAAGGCGGCUUGCCAGAACGCGCUCGACAGUGAGGGAUGAAAGCUGGGGGAGCAAACCGGG